rnacentral:lncRNA from 1 species
AUACCUGGGCUCUCACAAAACAUCACCUCAGUCUCUGCUGCUGUUGCUGUAGAGCACUGUGUAUUCAUAUGGCACAGAUACGCUUGCUGGAAUCAGAGCAAGAGGAAUAGUGGCAGAGAGAAGUCUCUCUUAACUCUGAUGUCUCGAGUAAACCCAAACCAGCUCCUGAGCUGCUUGAAUUCUGGCAUUUGAUUGAAUGAUUCAUAGGCCUUUAUUUAAUGGAUGGGAAGAAAGGAAAUGUUUAUUGAGCAACUACUCUCUUUCCUUAAGAAUUAUAUGUAAAAUACCUAUUUUACCCCUAAGGAGACUGAAACUCAAGAGUUUGAGUAGCUUUCCCAAAGUCACAUAGCUCAUUUGUAUAUAUGUGUGUGUGUGUAUAUAUAUGCAUAUAUAUAUACACACACACACAAAAUUAGCUGGGCGUGGUGGUGUGCGCCUGUAAUCCCAGCUACUCAGGAGGCUGAAGCAUGAGAAUUGCCUGAACCCGGGAGGCCGAGGUUG